GUUAUGGUUCCUUUGAUCGCUCCAUCUGUUACUUGGAUAACUGUGGUAAUUCUAGAGCUAAUACAUGCUGAUGAGCGCUAGGGGAUGGCCGCUCCGCUUUUGCACCCUGCUACCUCUUAUGCUGUUCUGGUGCCUCUGUGCGACCAACUCCUCUUCCUCCAAACUGCCCAUGUCACUCACAUGAC